GAGAGGGAAGUGUUAACUCUCAGGGGAGCCAUAAGCCCUGCCCAAGAGUAAAGAGGACGCCUCCCCUCCUCCUCCAGGUUCCUCCUUCCGAUACUUCCCCCGGAAGCCUCUGCAAAGCCCAGUUUCCAGAACACCGGCACUGUCCCACGUAAGGCUCACCAUGCAGAGUGGAUGGAUACAGAGAGCUUCCUUCCGUCUUAUAGAUUGUGCACCUGUUUAGCGCGGCCCCAAGACUAGGGCUGUGCAUGUCACACACACGAAGACACUGGUGGACUGGGCUUUCUGAGCAGGUCUCGAUUCCGCCAGUCAACAGUCUGAAAGUUCAGGAUCUCCUGAUCAGAAGCAGGACGUCCAUAUGCAGGCUGCACUGGAGGCCACGCUUUUGAAAAGUUGAAACAAAGCACAAAGGAAGUGGUCCCCAGUCGGACCAGGUCUGGUGGUGGUACAUCUGACUAGGAGGAGAGAACAGAGAAGGAAGCUGCUCUGAGGGAGGACCAGAAGAGUAGGCACUAUGAGUCCUUGGCCCUUGCGUGCAGGCUGAAAUCAUCACUGAACGGAAACAACAAACAGUAAAGAGAUGCUAGCUGCCACGCCGCAGAGAGAGACGUAGAAGAUGCCCACCCGAGCAGGAAUCUCUGGCAGCCUUCGGGUGGAUCAGGCACAGACAGUGUUCACUCACUUCUAAUGAGCUUCAUGAUACCCAGGCAGAGUCUUCAACGCAUGUUGAUCACCAGCUAUGAGUCAAAUCAAUGGCAAAGACUCCCUCAGAGCCUUGCUCUAAUGACACAAUCCUUAGCGUCUGGAUGAAUCCUCCAUCUCCUCUAGGCUUCUCCUACUCAGGCUCCCUAGUUUGCAGAAAGAUGUGGGACCUAAGGGCGGCAGGAGGGACCUUUCUUUACACCGUUACUGAUAAAGGAUAAAUAACCCUCGGUUCCUUAAAC